GCUUAACCCUAAACUUAGACAUUCCAUAUACAAGAAUGUCCGCCAGAGAACUACGAGCAAAACGCUUAAAACUCAAAGGACUUGGCGGUACCUCAAACCCCCCUAGAGGAGCCUGUUCUAUAAUCGAUAAUCCACGAUACACCUCACCAUCUCUUGCCAAUUCCGCCUAUAUACCACCGUCACCAGCCUACCCCAUGAGGGAUUUAAAAGUAGGCAAGAUAACUAAAAACAGUUAAUAAGCCAGGUCAAGGUGUAGCUAACUGAGAUGGAAGAAAUGGGCUACAUUUUCUACGCUAGAAAUCAAUUUACGGAAGGAAACUAUGAAAUCAGUCCUACAAGUAGGAUUUAGCAGUAAACCUGGAUCAGAACGCCUAAUUUAAGCCGGUCCUGAGGUGCGC
rnacentral:rRNA from 1 species